rnacentral:lncRNA from 1 species
CUAUCAUGCAGUCCACACCAAUCUUGAAGCCCAUGGACCAACAAAUCUAAACCUUUAGGAGCACUACAGGUCUUUAUGGAUGUGAUCAAAUAUUUCAGUGUUUCUGGCGAUUGAAGGUUGACAUGAACGGUAAGACAUUUACCUUUUUUUCUUCUUUUUUUGUUUUCCUCAGUUCAUUGGUAUCUAUUUACUUCGCCUUGUUUAUUCCGUUGAUGUUAAUGCCAGGGGGAAAGGUUUUUUUGAAUAAAUGCGUCCUACAGUUCAUGUUUUGAUACUUCUGAUAACAUGGGGCAAAUUUGUUUUGACAGAUAGAAGGAAAUAUUGAGUUUGGUGUGUUUCAGGUGACAUGAUGUAAAAAGAGGGUACUGGAUAGAUUCAGUGGGUUUGUAGAAUAUGCCCGUUUCUAUUUUGCCAUCUUGGUUUGUGAUUAGGAUAUCCAGAAAAGUCAGUUUUGGGGAUUAAAUUCCAUUGCAAAUUGGAUGUUAUUUCUGACGUUGUUUGACAUGUUUUUAAAUUCACUUAGCUUGUCAAUGUCUUUCUGCCGUCAGAUAAAGCAAUCAUCCAGUUAACUUUUCCAAUUCUUUCAGAGUUGUGUAUGGAACGUGUUACGGAAUAUUAAAAGAGAUUGGUUGUAUAUAUUUUGUUCGUGGAAUCCCAUGACUAUACUGGCGUAUAUGGAGGUUACUUUCAUACUCAUCACUGUUUCUGAUGUUUGGCAGCCAUCCGAACCGUUGAAAGUAAAAAGUUGCUUUCAGGUAUAAAUCUUUGCCCAUCAAUGAUAAAUUAUAUUUUCAAUGCCUGUUGGAAAUUUCAUAUUGAUGAGUAUCUAACUAGUAUUGGAUUGCAGUUAUUCCAGUGUUGCUGUAUAGUUUCACAACAUAAACGAAGUAAAAGUUGUAUAUUUUAUUUUAUAUUAUAUUUUAUAUUUUAUCUAGUUUCAGCUCACGAGCUAUGGCCAUGCUGGGGAACCGCCAUUCGUUUAUUUAUAUGUUUAUUUACUGUUUAUGGCAAGGCUUUAGCAUGUCUAGAUCGUCUCGUAUGUAACUCAGUAUAUGUUUCAGGAAGGGUUUGAGGAGGAUGUCCCAGAAGAUGUGUCCAUAUAUAUUUGAAAGGACAUUCAGCACAAUACACACACACUCACACACACACUCACACACACACGCAAACACACACACUCACACACAGGUGGACAUAAAGAUUAUUCAAUAAAGUUCUUUACGGAUAAUAGACAACUAUACCUCCUCUCUAAUACCUUAAACUCCAUAUUUAAAGGUUUCAAUGAAAAGAUCCCAUACAUAUUUUUGAACUCCAAGUAGAAGAUAAAAUGUUCAGACUUCAGACUUUUAUAACAUUUUAUUAUAUUUGAUCAGAUGAGAUUACUCAUUGAAACAGGUAAUAUUCCAUAUUUUCUAUAUAUAAUUUUAAAAUUAUUUUAUUAAAUUGUUUCCAAAUUGAAUUGCCUUAGAUUUACUUCUGUACUAUUUCCACCUCCAUUUUUCUAUAUAAACAUUUUAUUAUAUAGAUAGAUAGAUUUAGAUAUGAUGUAUAUUAAAAUUUUUAUAUACUGAGGAUGGAGAUUUUAUAGUUGUGCAUCUAUAUUUGGUAUGUAAUGUCAUUAAUUAUUAAAAAGAGAAUAAAAAUGAAAUUUAUGGCUUGAUACGUAACACGAGAUCCAAUUAAAUGUAUAGAAGAAUCUGCUUGUUAUGAUAUUCAGAGACUGAAUUGUCAUAGGCAUUUAUGAAUAGCGGAUAACUUAAAGCAGGUGGUUAUAAAAUACGUGACUAUUUAUCAUGAACAAAGAAACUGAGAUUCUUAACUUUGAUAAUACGAAUCGUUUCAUAUCUUUGUCUUUGCAUAUAAUACACGGUCUACUUUGUAUAGCACGUAAAUGAAAAUAUAUCAGAGAUGCAAAAAUAUGUUGUCCCCAACGUUAUCACUUGCAUCGCUGUCUCAGUUUGAAACAGCAUUCUUUUCUCAACUAGAAUGAUCUUUUUAAACAAUGAUAAAGGAUGUUUCAAAUUAAACAAUGACGUCAGGAAGAAUGCAACCAAUGACACCCAAUACCCACACAACAAAAUCUUUGACUGACGUCAGUCAAAUUUGUAGCAAAUCCAAAAUCGGUGAUUGAAAAAAUCAGUGAAGCUUUGAUUAAGCUGAGCGAUGUUAAUAAAGCUAAUAGCGAAGAAGCAGAUGAUCAGAUGAGCACAGGGACGGACAGAGCUUGACAGAUAGACAGACAGAAGGGAUACGCUGCCAUGCUUUAAGUGAGGUUAAAUUCAAUAUAAUGUUUUUCGACAACUAGACUGAUCAGUAUGAAUUUUCAGCAAAAUCAAAUUACCAAACCGCUAUUACCAAAAAAAGAAAAAAACAUGACAAAAAUCCAUGUAUUUAUUCACUCGCCAUCACUCUCUUCCACUCUCGUUCAUCGACACAGCCAUAGGCGAUGUCCAGUUAAAUUACAAAGAGAGCGUAACCUUCUCUUAUAGAAUCAAGCUACAAUGUUGAGUUUAUUUUUGCGACAUUAUUUUGUCCUUUUCUUUUCCAUUUUCCACUCUCAACAAUAACGGAGAUGAACUUUAAAAGACAAACUGCUCCUAUUUUUCUUUCGAACUCUUUAUCGUCAUUUAUACUAAUUAUACUAUUGAACCCAUUUCCGAGAAACAAUAUACGAUUCCACAAGCACCAUCACCGCCGUCACGACGGCAAUUACCAUUCACCACUUUACCAUUCACCACUUUAGCGGGCAUUAACAUAGAUAGCUUUGAUCUCCGCAGUAAUUUUAAACAAUACAUCAGUAGAAGUGUUGCAUAUAGGUUUUAAAUAAAAUAUUUAAUGGCAGCAUUUUGGGGCUUAAUUCCAUUAAUUUGAUAGUUUUUAAUUAAUUUUAUGCGAAGAAUAUUUCACCCGCCCGUUUUGACAAAAAUCAAUUGCUUCGUUGCAGUUUUCCGUGCUAACAAUAAACGAUUUCAAGUAUGUGUAAGAUACUGUGACGUAUAUGGAAAUUUGAAGGCUGCUCCUAAAUAUUUUAAUGCUUACUUCAUUGACUCGAUGACUAUAAGCACAUAACAUUUUGUAUUGCUUUUCUGGAAUAUAUGAAUUUUAUGUGCUUACAUAUAUUAUUUUCACACGUAUACACAUAUUAUUUCCACGCCAUUAGCAUACAGAAAUGUUUACACAUGGAUAUAUGCUAAGUAGGGAAACUCGCAGGCAUUCAUAUGCACACAAAUAUAAACAUGAGUGCGUUACUAUCUCUGUCUGUCUCUCUCUCUCUAUAUAUAUAUACACACACACGCACACGUAUAUACAUUUACUUACACGUACACAUACUCACACGCACACAUAUACAUAGAUAUAAUUAUGCAGAAAUGUUAUGCUUAUGAGUUUACGCAGAUAUAAACAGAGAAAAGAGAGAGAGAGAGAGAGAGAGAGAGAGAGAUUGGCAUGGAUACUUUAAGUGAGAAACGAGUGCUCUAUACAGAGUCCUAUGGGAACUAGAAUACCUGAGAAUAUAUUCAUAUUUCUGGUUAUAUAUUCAAUCAUAUAUCUCGUAUUCACUUAUGGAGAACAAAGCCUUGUUCAACCUGAAUUCAGAUGUGCAUUACAAAGCGUAAGAAAUUAUUCAUUUACUUCCAGUCAAAGACAUGGCACAGAGCAUGUGAUUAUAUUUUACAUAAAUAUACGCAGUCAUUUCUUUGUCAACUUUUCUCUCUGUCCGUUACUCUCCCUCUAUCUCUCUCACUCUCUCUCUCACCCUCUCUCUCUACACACACGCACACACAUAUUUAUGUGUGCAUAUUUGCUGGUAUAUAUAUAUUAGUUUGUUCGGAAAGUUCGCGCCGAUCUUUAAAGGAAAGAAUAUGGUCAAUAAAUAAUUGCCAUUACAUUUUUAAUCAACCAAAUAUGAACCAUUUUGUUGCACAAUGCGUCUCCAUCUUUCCUUUAACUUGAAAAUAACCUCUUCCCAGAAUUGAGGUGGUUUCAGGGCAAUGAAUUCAUCGAGGUAUCUUUUUACGUCAUCCAAUGAAUUGAAAUUUUUUACCAUUAAGACUAUUCUGCAGAGACCUGAGUAAGUUGAAAUCCGAAGGAGCAAUAUCUGGUGAAUAUGGAAGGUGGGGUAACACAUCCCAGUCGAGCUGCAUCAAUUAUUGUCUGGUUCCCAAAGCAUCAAGUGCCGAAAAUGAACUUUCUUACCUUCCAUUUUAAAGGGUUACAGAUUUAACACAGGUUAUAGGAACAUAUAACUUCUUCCACGAAAACAUAGCUAAAACUGUGCUCUAAAUGGAUGUGUAGUCAAAUCCUAUUUUAUGGACGAACCAUGUUCUAAAAUAAAUCGAAAGGUAAGCUACUAUAAAUCGGCACGAACUUUCAGGACAACCCAAUAUAUAUAUACAUAUAUGUGUGUGUGUGUGCGUUUGUGGAUGCGUGCAUGUAUAUGUGUGUUUGUGUGUGUGUACGUGUGUAUGUGUGUGGUAGGGAUGUAGAUGAAAGUGCCAAGAACAGAGGUGCAGGAAUUUAGGGGUCUUCAAGCAAUCCACAGAAGUAUGAAACACAAAUUUCAGGAACGAUAGUGAUUUAGUGACGCAGAAGGUUAAGGUUGUGAAUUUUUCCCGUUUCGAAUACAAGUUGAAAAAGUUUGUUUUACUGUUCCCGGUUGGCACAGCAGUUGUUGCAUAUCGAAUAAAUCUCCAGAAUAUAUGGAAUGAAGUAGAUAGAAUCCAGGCUACAUAUGCUUUAUCGCUGACAGAACCAGCGAAGAAAUAAAUAAUCCAAACGUGUGGAUGACCGUAAUCUACACUUCAGGCCAAAGAUACCUUGAUUAUAUGAAAUUCGCAUUGUCGUUAGAAUAUCCCGUGUAAACUUCAUACAUUCAAAGUAUCGUUGGCCUAAAAAGUAGCUUGCUGUCUACCCCGCGUUUGGAGAAGUUACUGCUUCCGAGGGUCCGCUAGGUAUGGAACACACACACACAUACAUAUAUAUAUAUAUAUAUAUAUAUAUAUAUAUAUAUAUAUAUAUAUAUAUAUAUAUAUAUAUAUAUAUAUAUAUAUAUAUAUAUAUAUAUAUAUAUAUAUAUAUAUAUAUAUAUAUAUAUAUGUAUGUAUGUAUAUAUAUAUAUAUAUAUGUAUAUAUAUAUGUAUAUCCCCUUACCCACAGGAACUGGAUAACUCCUACCCUAUUUCCUGUUUUGGCAUUGAUUUAACAAACCUCUUAAAUUAAACACCACAUGGAUUUAAUCACAAGGAUCUUAAUCCUCCAAGGUAAUUUUUCUAAGAACUAUCAUUGAACUCGACACACAAAGAUUUCACAAUGUAUCGGUGUACCUAUUUAUUAAUUUUUGUAUAUUUUUAUUAUUUUUAUGCAAAAAACAAUGUAAUUUUCUUUUUUCCCCCUCCUCAAUUAUACAAAAAAAUUAUUUUCAGCUUACGAUUCUUGAAAAGUCGCAUUGCGAAGAAAACCGCUUGGAUUUAAUAUUUAAAAGAAAACAAUUAUUUUCCAUACACCCAUUUUCAUUAACACUUACCUUCAAUUUAGCAUUCCACCUUUUUAUAAUUUUUCCUUGCCUAUAUAUAUAUAUAUAUAUAUAUAUAUAUAUAUAUAUAUAUAUAUAUAUUUCUUUACUACCCACAAGGGGCUAAACACAGAGGGGACAAACAAGGACAGACAAAGGGAUUAAGUCGACUACAUCGACCCCAGUGCGUAACUGGUACUUAAUUUAUCGAUCCCGAAAGGAUGAAAGGCAAAGUCGACCUCGGCGGAAUUUGAACUCGGAACGUAACGACAGACGAAAUACCUAUUUCUUUACUACCCACAUGGGGCUAAACACAGAGUGGACAAACAAGGACAGACAAAGGUAUUAAUUCGAUUACAUCGACCCCAGUGCGUAACUGGUACUUAUAUAUAUAUAUAAGUAACUGGUACUUAUAUAUAUAUAUAUAUAUAGAUAUAUAUACGUAAUAUAUUGGCGCAAGCAUUUCGAAGAUCAGUUCGACAUUUUUCAUUUACUUCCGACUGAAACCACGCUUGCGCACUGAAUUUGAAUAAUUAUAACAUAUAAUGAUGAGACACGUGUUAUGUUGUCUGUAAAUGAAUGUUAUGGCUCGGUUACUGAUUAGAAUUUCGCCUGGAAAAUUAUUUCAUUUGCUAAUAAAAUUGAAACAUAGGUAUAACAGUAAAAAAUAACUUGGUAAACAUCUUUAUAUUUCAUUCCAUUCGAAAUUGGUCUUAAAUAUGUUUUCGGUGGUUUUGACUGCAUGUUCUAGCGUGUAAAAUUACCUGUUAAAGGUAGUUUUCUUGUGUUUAAAUGUACACUAUUAUAUAUUGUAUGCAUAUAUAUAUGUGUAUAUAUAUAUAUAUAUAUAUAUAUAUAUAGAUAUAUAUAUAUAUGGGUGUGUGUGAUUGUGUAUAGAAGAAUAUAUUAAUAAAAAGAAUUCCAACCUUGUCUGAUUUUCACGUUUUAUUUACAAUCUUAUAAUGAUAUAUUAUAAGAUAAUAUAUUAUAAUUGAGUAAAAUAAAAUGAAAUAGUAGAAUGUUAAAUAUUCAUUCUGAUUGAACUAGUACUUUCAUGCAUUGAAUUCUGCAAUCUUCGGGUUCAUGUAGUAGUGUUGACAGUCAUGCUUCACAAUUUUUGACUGUAGCAAGAUGAGUGAUUCUGUGCUAUAAAUACAGCUGGGUAGGCUCCAGAGUGCUAGGUUUUGCAAACUGUAUUCUGACCAAUCAGUGUGUAGUAUCACUCAAUUACUUAAGUGAUACUAUAUAUAUAUAUAUAUAUAUAUAUAUAGCCUGGAUUCUACCGAUUCUAGUCCCUAUAUUUUGUAUGUAUAUAUAUAUAUAUAUAUAUAUAUAUAUAUAUAUAUAUAUAUAUAUAUAUAUAUGUUUUCUUGCAUCUAUAUGCGUAUUUAAAUAAACUGGCACUCUGUCGUUGACGACAAUAAGUGUUCGAGUUAGUUCAAUCUGCGGAAGAGACUGCUCAUAUAAUAGGCGUGAAAGUUGCUGAGCAUUCACCUCAUUUUCAUGCCCUUAACGUAGUCUUGAGGAAGAUUCAGCGUGACACAAAAUGCGAUAAACCUGGCCGUUUUAAACACAGCUACAAAUGAUUUUUGCCAGCUGAGCGAACUGACAUGACGAUAAAUAAAUUGUCUCGCUCAAGAUUACUGUUAACUUUCGGGAAAUGGACACAUGACAUUACAAUUGCGAGCAGAAUACCAGAAACACCAAGCUGCCCGCCUUCACAUGUACUACGAAUCAGCGAUUAGCUGAGAAAAGAACACAAAACUGUGUACGUAACACCAACAUUAUUUUUUUUGAAUAAUAAAAAUAAUGUUUGAUAUUUGAAAAUAAAAAUAUUCUGUUCAAAACAUUAUUUCUAUAAUAAAAGUACUUUUAAAAUAAGUUUACAUCAUGAAUUAUUAUGUCAUUGCUGCUUUUCCCGCUACAUAAAGCUAGUCGAUAUACACGUAUCUCUAACAGGUAAUUAACAGAUUGUAUUCUCCUGAUUAAAACGUGUUAAUAAUGUAUUUACAUGUGAUACCAAAUAACACGGGAUUUUAAACAAUUUUACCGUUCUUUCACCCAUCCAUCACAUAUAUAUAUAAUUAAUUAAUUUAGGCAAGGUAUUAGCAAUGUAUUACCGAAAUGGAAAACUACAAUUGCCAUUAAAUAGGUUUGAGCUUGUUGGAACAUCUACAAUGGUCGAAAUAAGAGCUAAAACCCCUUGCGGUGCAGUCAACGCACAUAAUUUUAUACAUGCACAAACACACACAGAAACAUACACACGCACACAGACACACACACAUAUAUAUAAUACAUGUAUAUAUAUAUAUAUAUAUAUAUAUAUAUAUAUAUAUAUAUAUAUAUAUAUAUAUAUAUAUAUAUAUAUAUAUAUAUAUAUAUAUAUAUAAACAUAUAUAUAUAUAUAUCAUCAUUAUAUGUUAUAUAUAUAUAUAUAUAUAUAUAUAUAUAUAUAUAUAUAUAUAUAUAAUAUAUAUUGAUAUAUAUAUAUAUAUAAACAUAUUAUAUAUAUAUAUAGGGAGAAUUCACGAAGAUGAAGACAGGUGGUGUAGAAAACAAAUAGAUGUAUUAGUAUAACGCUCGGGUAUUGAAAAAGUCUGUUACGUUUCGAGCAUACGCUCUUCCACAGAAAGGGACACAGAAAGGAACACAGAAAGAAACAAGGAAAGAAAAAAAUGUGUGUAGUGGCUACCGAUAUACAUAGAAUGUUACUAAAGCUAUAACUCAUUAGCUAUAUCUUUGGACAAUUUUCUUGGUAUAUACCGAGGUAAACUUUCUUUACAAAUGCAAAGCUCAACUGUGGAGCUUACUGAACAAUAUCAUAAUCACCUAUCCGAUUUCUCACGAAUGAUUUAUAUCAAUAGAACUUCGUAUAUAAUACACCUAUAUUUACGUAAAAAAGAUGUGUUCGUAUAUGUGUAAUACACAGAUAUAUGUGCGUAUCUCUCUCUAUAUAUAUAUAUAAGAAGAGUCUCUCAGACAAUGUAUACUCAAAAACAAUUCACGUAGGCAUAGAGGGAAAAAUAACGAAAGUUCACUCGAAAUUAGAUUACUUGUGAACGCGUUUCUGGGUUUGUCAGCUAUGUAGAUGCUAGAAAUACAUGUAUUUCUAGCAUCUCUAUAUCUGUAUUUCUAGCAUCUCUAUAUCUGACUAACUCAGAAACGCGUUCAAAAGUAAUCUAAUUUCGAGUGAACUUUCGUUAUUUUUCCCUCUAUGCCUACGUGAAUUGUUUUUGAGUAUACAUUGUCUGGGAGACUCUUCUUACAGUAGAAGAACUAGCUAAAUUUUUUGGCUGCUAUUUCUAAAUGUUCGGUAUGUGUCAAGCAAAUUUUUUUCCUGAACCCUAAUUAUAUAUAUAUGUGUGUGUGUGUGUGUAUGUGUGUGUAUGUGUGUGUGUGUGUGUGUGUGUGUGUGUGUGUGUGUGUGUGUGUGUGUGUGUUGAUAAAUAGAUAAAUAGGGAGAUAAUUAGGUAGGAAGACAGAUGCAUAUAUCAAAACAGUUUGUUUCGCAUACGCUCGUAUUCCGCGUUUCAAGCGUGAUGCGAAUUUUCAAACAUUUUGAAUUUAAAUGAAAACAGUUGAUUGUUAUUACAGUAAGGUGCAAUUGGUCCAGGAAGGUAACUGUGUGUUGUAGUUUGAUGUUGAUAUAUCGAUAUAUCAUCGACAACAGUUGGUUUGAAAAUACGACAUAGUGAACAGGAAAUCGACGGCGUGUUGAGAGACGCAGCAUGCAGAUUGGGAUCCCACGUGAUAUGGUGGUGCUGUAUCGACAAUUGUCCUCCUGAGGCAGGGUGCUUCAUCUCGAAGGUCACGGAAUCUCCAGAGAAAACGAAAUAGAUAAGUAGAGUUCUCUCUGUCUCUGGAUCUGAACGAGUGCUUACGCUGGGAGUGUCUAAUCUUGAAGUCAUUAGCUGUAAUACCCGUAUAGUGCCUACGAAUUCCAUCAGAUAGUAUAAGGGUGACUCUGCACACUACAUCCUUUGGAGGUAGGAUCCUUAUCGGGGGCACAUGGUUAGAUUUCCGAAAUUGCAGGUUGGGAUAGCGAGUGGUGCAGGUGUAUUUUUAAAUUUGUUGCUGCGUGUGAUGUUGUUUAAGCAGGAGUAGCUCACGUUGCAAUUAAGGCGGUUGAAGAGUUUGUAAUAAUUGUCCUUUCUAAAGAAAGGUUUCUUAAUUAAUGACAGGAAAACCCUAGGUGCGUUGGUGGAAACUUCUAGAUUGAAAGCAGUGUUAUACCAUAUAAGGUGUCGGCAUUAUUCUAACCCAUCCUUAAAUCCCUAAAUGACUCUAUGACCAGCAUUACCAUUCCCCAUCUCUCCCCGAUCCCCAAUAUGCAUGUGUACAUGUAUGCACUCAUAUAUAUAUAUAUAUAUAUAAACUAAAGUAUAAUAUAAUAAUUAAAUCGUAACAUAACAAAAGUAAAAAUAGCAAUUGGUAUAAAAUUGCAUCAAUGACUUGAACUUGAAUAACUGGUUUUAUAUGAAUGGGAAUAAAUUAAAGAUAAAAUUAGUGUGCAGAAAUGGAAUAGUCCAGAUGAAGUUGUGCACAUACCAUUUACCACGGCGUUUACAUUAGAUUAUCUGCUAAUUAGCUAGCAUUUAGUAUGUAUAUGACGUUUGGCUGGAUGUAAUGUCUGUUUUCUCGAACAGCCACUUCUACUGAAUACUGCCGUUGGUUAUACAUAAAGGACUAUAGCUUCAACUGCGUACUGCGUUUUGAUUCACCAUAAGGUUUGUUGUUACUAUUAUUACUGUUUAACUAUUGUUAUCACGUUUGUUGGUUCCUCGAAAGGGAAACGUUGUUGUGUUGCAUUUGUUAAAUAAUUGUAAACCGUAAACCUCCCCCUUUGGGAGAAGGAGCUUUGGUUAUUGUUUAAAAAUUGAAUUGUGUCCUGGUUUGGGGAAAUCGACAAUAUUUUCACCGUUUAUACGGAAGCAUUUUUGUUAAAAUGCCUUCGAUACAACAACGUCCAAAAUUUUGGUGCAUCCGUCGGCAGGCGCGAACUCAUUAAAAUUAAAAUGGAAGAAAUACAAACCUAUUUCGGAUUGAUCACCGACAAAGACGGUGAAUCUAGGAUAACACCACCAACGGAAAUAAAAAAUAAAAUUAUAGAAAAGACUAUUGUGUAUAAAGUAUACAAUGUAGAGAAAAAAGAUUUGAACACCUGGAGGAAAGCACCAUCGAAUAGUGUCUUUGUGCGACUAUGAAAGAUAUCAAGUAUCUAACCAGAGGCGGUAAAUUCGCCACAAUAGAAGCAAGGUUCGAGUCAACAGAGCGUGCAAGGGAGUACACGACUCGAACAUUGCAAAGUGGAAAUAUUUUAUUUUUACCCUUAUAUCUGGGACGUCGGACGUCCCGGAUAAAAGUUUAAAAUGUCUCCCCCAGAAGUAGAGGUAGGCUGGAUUGUAGCCACAUUUCUAAACAAGAGGGAGGACAAGAUACAAUUGAUCGAAAUUGCAAGAGACGGGCCUACAAUUCCAGUCUGUUAUAUAUUUUGAGUAUUGUUAUCACUAGCGAUAUCAAGAUAUAACUUUGUAUUUUGUAUUUUUUGUGUAGAUGUAUAUAUAUAUAGAUGUACAUGUAAUAUGUACACAUAUAUAUACACAUAUAUACAUGGACUAGCACUAUGACCCGGCAACGAUGGGUCAUAAUGCUAGUAUGUAUAUAUAUAUAUAUAUAUAUAUAUAUAUAUAUAUAUAUAUAUAUAUAUAUAUAUAUAUAUAUAUAUAUAUAGAGAGAGAGAGAGAGAGAGAGAGAGAGAGAUUGGUAGAUAGAUAGAUACAUACAUACAUAUACAUGUGUGUGUGAGUACUUGUGUAUGAACAUGUGCGCACGCACAGAUACAGUCACUGACGCGCUGGUGCAUGCCGGCCCAUGUACAGAUGCGCACGCUCGCAUCAGUACAGGUAUGCACGCAAAAUCAUAUGAAUACGUCCUGACACCCAUAUAUACAAAUAUAUAUUUGCACAUACCACCCAUUCCUACUUCUUCAACCCGGUCGACUACGCAGUUGAUUUCCUCUCCACCACGCGGACGAUUUCGCGUUCAACGUCCGAUAGUUUCCACCAAACUGUUGUCACUGAUAUACCGACAUACCAAUGUAUAUAUAUAUAUAUAUAUAUAUAUACAUGUGAUAAGGGGAAAGUGUAGCAUUGAGGACAAAUCAGUUGUGGAGUAAAUGGAAAGUAAGUUCGACUAAUCAUGUCUUGCGUCCGUUUGGAGGAUUCCAGGCCCUAACCUGUCAUGGAAACCUGGGGUAGGGUGUGUGAUUUUUGAACGCAACGAAACGCUGUCAGUAGAUAUAAUCCCCUUUGCGGCGGUCGUCACUGCGUCUAACACGGCCCAUUGUCAGACGUUUUGACACCGUCUUCGGGUCUGUUGUUUUACAUCACUCAAAAAGUAAAUUUGGAGUAACGUUGGUUGUUCAUACAUGGGUAACUGGGAACCAAUAAGGUGAACUUUGAAAGUCAGCAUAAAUCCAUAUCCAUCUAUCUCCUUAGAAGCACAACUUGAUGUUCUUCGAAAUGAAGAGCUGUAUUGUCUGAUAUUGUUCAGAAAAUUCUUUGACUGGAUGGAAAUGCCUUCCAGAAGAUCCAUACGAUGUUGAGGAGGAGCUGGUAGUGCUGCCAAUUUUACCUUACCUCCUGAGCAGCACAUGUCAUUAGUUUAACAUGGAAAUUUGAAAGCUUUACAUAAACGACAAUUUGAGUUUAGCACACUAAUUUGGACAGAAUUUUUUUUUUUAUAAGAAUGGGAUGGGCUAUAUUUGAAAGCGAUUCCAGAUGCGAAGAACGAAUUUGCUCGUUUUCUGUUUCUGAGAGCAAUUUAUUGGAUCUCUGUCAAAUCAUUAAAACAUUGUUUUAAUGAUUCAGCAUUAAAUGCUGCAACAUGCCUUCCCUGAUGCUGGGAACGUCUCAUCUCGCUUCUGCCUUGAGACACCAUUUGAUGAGCUGCAGGAUGCCGUUACUGAUUUUGGGAAAGUCUCAUCUCCUUUCUGUAUAAUGAUUUCAUCUGACGUUAAGUAGCAAGCCUUUGCCGAUCUUGAGAAGACCUCAUCUACUUUCUCUCGCCUUCGGUUUUCUACAUUCCUCCUUGAUUUAAGCUUGUUUCUGGAGAGAUUACGUCUUUCUUUGGUGGCAUAUUUUUUCAAUAUUGUAAAUAAAAUGUUAUGAAUAUAGAAAAAAUUAUACGUUAAUCUCUAUUUUUGUAAGCAGUUCUAUGUCUUUAUUUUUGUAUGCAGUGUAAAUUAACCAAAUAUAAGCAAAUUAACAAAAUAGAAGCACGUGUACGAACUACUAUUUUAACUGUAAAUGCAACAAUAAUUAUCAUAGAUAAAUUUGAUGAUGAUGAUAUAUAUGUGUAUAUGUGUGUGUGUUAAGCACAUGUAUUGAAUGUUAAGUUAAGGUAUACCUUUGUCUUGCAAUCUCACUGUUUUUUGCCGAGAGUUUCACAUCCAGCUGCUCGUUUUUUCAGCCCACGCACAUAUACUGACACACCAUUCCGCUGUCAUGGUGGUAUAGACAGAAUGUUGCAGAUGCGUAAUGUUGUCCACAUUAGGAUGAAUAUUAUUCAUGUAUUUCAAAUAUAAUAGAAAUAAGAUUAUCCUUGUAUUAUCACAUUAUAAUUAAAAGUGAAAGAAUAAAAGUGAAACAAUAUUGUCUUUUGACACGUAAUACCAAAUCAGUCUAAAAGUUUGCUCCGGGCCCGCAUUGGCCAAGAAGUUGAAGGUCUUUUUUAGUCCGUGACACCCCAUAGACCCUAAGUAAUGCAUAUGUAAAAUCUGAAUGAAGCGGUUGGGUACUUCUCGAGUUUUAGGGAUUCACGCAUACAUACAUACACAUAUUCUCAUUUGUAUAUAUAUAUAUAUAGGUAUUUAUAAAUAUAGGAGAAUAAGAAAUAGAAUGUUCUUGGUACAGUACUAUAUUGGGUCACCCCAUAAAUAAUGCAUUUUUUUUCAAUUGCAUGAACAAAAUGUCGGAGGGGGACGGGUAAAAUACUUGCAUGAACUUCUUUGAAACCAGGUAGUUAUUUUAUAUUUAUUCUUAGUGAUUGUUUUGAAGACUGAUGGGAGAUUGUAACAGUAAUAGGAGCAUAUUCAGCAUAUUUAGCGGAAAAUUACGCGGAAUAUUAUUGCAGUAUAUAGUGACAAGAUAACAAGCGUAAGUUAAUGUCAACGUUGGUUCCAGAAACUCGGAGCCAGUAACUGCAGCCUAUGAGACGAGCCUCGUCCUGGAAGAUCUGAAGACGUACUACAAACACUGAUGGAACAAAAUCUCAUCGUUACUGUUGUGGAUAGAGUAGAGCAGCUUGGAUUUGUUCAUUCAGCCAUUCACCAAUACCUGCGUUACAAGAAAAACGGCCAUCUUUGGUUUCAAGAGGAAAGGUUUUCUUCCAUCAGGAUAAUGCUCGGCCAUCUACAGUGAGGAUGACAUUCCAUAGUUUAGAGCUGUUUGAAUGGAAAACGAUGCCCCACCCAUAUUAUUUGCCGACAUUGCCCCAUAUGAAUAUCAUUUAUUCCCUAACAUUCAAAAUCAUUUGGACGGGAAAAUAUGAAUUCUGUAGACGAGGUAAGAACAAUACUAGAGGAGUGAAGUUUGGAAGAGGGUACUUGCAGAUUUACCAGACAGAGAGAAGAACAUUGAAGAAAAUGAAGGAGUGUAUAUUCAUUUCUACUCUAGGCAUACAGCCCGAAUUUUUGGGGGAGGGGGAAAUUCGAUUAGAUCUAACCCAGUAUGCAACUGGUACUUAAUUUUUAGACACCGAAAGGAUGAAAGGCAAAAUCGACCUUGGCGGAAUUUGAACCCAGAACUUAAAGACAGACGAAAUACCUAUUUCUUUACUACCCACAAGGGAAUAAACACAGAGAGGACAAACAAGGACAGACAAACGGGUUACGUCGAUUUUAUCGACCCCAGUGCGUAACUGACACUUAAUUUAUCGACCGCGAAAGGAUGAAAGGCAAAGUCGACCUCGGCGGAAUUUGAACUCAGAACGUAGCGGCAGACGAAAUACUGCUAAGCAUUUCGCCCGGCGUGCUAACGUUUCUGCCAGCUCGCCACCUUGUAGGCAUGCAUAUUGUAGAUUAACACUAUUGUAGAUUAACACUUUGGUUUUCUUUAUUUUGAGAAAUAAAAGAUGUAUAAAAAGAUUGCAUUAUUUUUGGGGUGACCCAAUAUAUUGAAAAAAAAUUAACGGGCUUUCUGAUAAUUUUUGCACCUAAAUAAUUAGCAUUUAAAAAACAACUAUUUAUGAAAGUGGAAAAACCACCAGAAAAGAUAUUUCUAUUCAUUUUAUAUGCAUACAUACACACGCACAUACAUACAUACAUACAUACAUACAUACAUACAUACAUACAUACAUACAUACAUACAUACAUACAUACAUACAUACAUACAUACAUAUACAGACACAGAUUUAUACAUGUAUCCGUGUGUGUGCCUCUGUGUGUGAGAAGGAGUAUAUUCAUAUGCUUGCUUAGUCGCGUUGGAAAAUCUUAU